rnacentral:rRNA from 1 species
GAUGAACGCUAGCUACAGGCUUAACACUUGCAAGUCGAGGGGUAACGAGAGGAAAGCUUGCUUUCCUUGUCGACGACCGGCGCACGGGUGAGUAACGCGUAUCCAACCUGCCCCCAACUAGGGAAUAACCUUGCGAAAGUAAGACUAAUACCCUAUAAUUUCCUCAGAUGGCAUCUGACGAGGAAUAAAGAUUUAUCGGUUGUGGAUGGGGAUGCGUCUGAUUAGCUUGUUGGCGGGGUAACGGCCCACCAAGGCAACGAUCAGUAGGGGUUCUGAGAGGAAGGUCCCCCACAUUGGAACUGAGACACGGUCCAAACUCCUACGGGAGGCAGCAGUGAGGAAUAUUGGUCAAUGGGCGGAAGCCUGAACCAGCCAAGUAGCGUGCAGGAUGACGGCACUAUGGGUUGUAAACUGCUUUUAUACAGGAAUAAAGUUAGCCACGUGUGGUUAUUUGUAGGUACUGUAUGAAUAAGGACCGGCUAAUUCCGUGCCAGCAGCCGCAGUAA